UACGUAGGGGGCAAGCGUUGUCCGGAAUCAUUGGGCGUAAAGCGCGUGUAGGCGGCUAGGUAAGUCUGCUCUGAAAUCCCGGGGCUCAACCCGGGAACUGCGUCCGAUACUGGAAGGCUUGAAUCCGGGAGAGGGAUGUGGAAUUCCAGGUGUAGCGGUGAAAUGCGUAGAUAUCUGGAGGAACACCGGUGGCGAAGGCGACAUCCUGGACCGGUAUUGACGCUGAGGCGCGAAAGCCAGGGGAGCAAACGGG
rnacentral:rRNA from 1 species